AUACGGGGGGUGCAAGCGUUAUUCGGAUUUAUUGGGCGUAAAGGGCGCGUAGGCGGCUUGGAAAGUCAGAUGUGAAAGCCCGGGGCUCAACCCCGGAAGUGCAUUUGAAACUAUCAGGCUUGAGUAUGGGAGAGGGAAGUGGAAUUCCUGGUGUAGAGGUGAAAUUCGUAGAUAUCAGGAGGAACACCGGUGGCGAAGGCGACUUCCUGGACCAAUACUGACGCUGAGGCGCGAAGGCGUGGGGAGCAAACAGGAUUAGAUACCCCGGUAGUCC
rnacentral:rRNA from 1 species